GUUCCUUUGAUGAAGAGUGUUAAGAAGAGAGGGCGGAGGAAAGGCAUUUUGCUGUCCAGAGGAGAUCCCCAUGCCUGAGGCAGUGUGGAAGGCACCACAGUGGGAAGACAAUGCAGAGAGGCUAAGGCCUCUUCAGGAGAAGUGAGAGUCAGUUCCAGUGCUGGAGGGAGUUUUCUGGUUUGGGGACUGUAUGGCAGAUGAGUAAGGAUAAGGUUUGGCGUGUCUGGUUAUUGCUGCUCCAUGGGCUAUGCAUAGGAUGAGCCAGGAGCACUAAACUAGAGAUGAUUCCCUCUUCGAGCAUAGUCUGAGAUCUUCAGAAAGCCAUGCUAUGGUUGGUAGAGUACAUCCAAAAGCUCUUGUUUGCUGAUAGGUAAGAGGGAAAGUCCUGCAUACGACGUUGCCAGGCUUUGUGGUGUGGUGACUGCAUGGCAAGCCAGGAGCUGCAGAGAGGGUGAAACAGGAGCCACAUGGCAAGCAGGGAGCUGGAGAGAAGCCCCAGGAACCGUGGACAGAGACACAUGUGGACCAGGCCGUGACGCUUUGCAAACUGAGGCCCUAUUAGACCUGCAUGGACAGCCAGUGUUCUGAGGCAAUUUUCUUACAAGAAGGGGUUUAUUCCUGUGUCCUUGGCCAAAUUUCCCCAGUGCAGCGGGCUUUGCACUUGUUGGCUGCCACCUUCAGUGCUAGUUGAUGCUCUACUGUACACAAGAAAUACACCUUAUUCAUGCCUCGCGGAAGACACAUAAUCUGAGUGGCCUUUGCCAGUCACAAAAGGCGAACAUGCCAAAACCAAAUUUUAUUUAUGACCUUUAAACACUGGUUGCCAAAGGUGACCUUUGCCUUUUUGGCUUUAGGCUGUGUUCCAAAUCUGAUUUUUAAUAAGUCUGUUUGCAUGGAAA